rnacentral:rRNA from 1 species
GACGAACGCUGGCGGCGUGCCUAACACAUGCCAGUCGAACGGAAAGGCCCUGCUUUUGUGGGGUGCUCGAGUGGCGAACGGGUGAGUAACACGUGAGUAACCUGCCCUUGACUUUGGGAUAACUUCAGGAAACUGGGGCUAAUAUCGGAUAGGAGCUCCUGCUGCAUGGUGGGGGUUGGAAAGUUUCGGCGGUUGGGGAUGGACUCGCGGCUUAUCAGCUUGUUGGUGGGGUAGUGGCUUACCAAGGCUUUGACGGGUAGCCGGCCUGAGAGGGUGGCCGGCCACAAUGGGACUGAGAUACGGCCCAGACUCCUACGGGAGGCAGCGGUGGGGAGUAUUGCACAGUGGGCGGGAGCCUGAUGCAGCAACGCCGCGUGCGGGAUGCCGGCCUUCGGGUUGUGAACCGCUUUCGCCUGUGACGAAGCGUGAGUGACGGUAAUGGGUAAAGAAGCACCGGCUAACUACGUG